GCUGGGCGUGGUUGGCACAUGCCUGUAAUCCCAGCAAUUCUGGAGGCUGAGGCAGGAGGAUCCAGAGUUCAAAGCCAACCUCGGCAAUUUAGCAAGGCGCUAAGCAACUCAGUGAGAUCCUGUCUCUA
rnacentral:sRNA from 1 species